rnacentral:lncRNA from 1 species
CCGCCCUCGCCGCUCCCGCGCCCGGGGCAGGAAGGCGCGCCGGGCAGCUGGGUGGCCUCGGGCACCCGGCUCGUCAUCCCGCUGGCCUUCCGCUCAUUUAUUCCCACACUUUGGGAAAGCCUCCUGGGUGCCAGGCGCUCUUCCAGGCGCUGGGCCACAGCCUGCCAAGCCCUUGCCCCGCCGAGCAGUCUGCAGGGGCCGGGGUGCGGGGCUGGGGACGUGCGCACAGGCAGGUCACUUCGGACGGUGUAAAGAGCCUGGUGACGGCCAGGGUGACGGCGGUGGGGGUGGCAUCACGCACCUGAGAGUAGGAGAAACCGAGGCAGCGGCCAAAGGUGCCCUCUCAGUGACUUGAUUUUUACACACAAAGUCCUGCUUGGAAAGGUACAUGAGUUCCUUUUCCCAUCACAUGAGUGAGUGACACACCCUCCGUCCAGUCUUGCUUCUAGGAUUCUCCAGGCUGGACGGGAGCAGCGCUCAGUAGUGAAGGAAUCAGGGCUGGUCGGCCCCACUGCUGGGGCGGAAGAGGGAAUCUGGAUCCUGUUCCUCUGCUGUGGUCAGAAGCAGAAGUCUCCACAUCAGCUGUGAUUAAUGGCCCGUUAACCCCCACGCUCUGUUGCCUUCUUCAGGGUCCAAGAGCUUUAGAAAAGCGAGACACAGAGAGCUGUUGCCUCCGGGCAGGGAGCUGGCCUGAACCAGGGUGGCUGUUUGCAGGGGAGCAAGAGGCCAGGUUUAUGCCCCAAGUCCCAAGACUCACAUUCACCACCAUAGGUGGGCUGGGACUGAAGGCCAAGCCACGGCAGGGCAAGGCCUCUGCAGGUCUGGAGCCAGAAUCUGGAAGGGAAGAAGAAGGGAAUUUCUAAAGACUCGUGAUUCUCGCCAUGAGCUUCCUGCGCAAGUCCCUCAAGUCUAAGAGGAAGGCGCAUCCUCUGAGCAUCAGGGAAUCCGCAUCCGCAGACCCCCUGGACAGGCGACCCACCUCCCUGGGCAGCAGCCCUCUCAACUGUUCAAUGGGAAUAAUUCCCAGGACGACUGCAAGGAUUAGACACAACGGCUUACGUCAG